GCCAUUUCUGAUCAAAGCUUCAAAUCGAGGAGGUUUUUUUUUUCAGGUUCCGAUCCACCACCACCAGGGCGAUAAUGUCUGGUCUCCGCCGUCCGCGUUCUACGGAAUGCGUCGAAGAUUUCGAUAACCAGAGUGCAGUCCGGCGGCCACGACCGGCGAUUAAGAUAUGGUCCCUUAAUCAUGUCCCAGAUGGGGAAGCAGGCCUGAAAUAGCGUGUUUCAGAAUCUUUGAUGGUUCGCUGAAGGUUUGGAAUUUGAGCCAAAUGAAAAAACCUCUCAAGGUGUUUGAUAGUCUCCCAUUAACUAUGCCCAAACAAAUAGUCCUGAUGAGCAAAUCAGAGUUAGAUUUUGUCCGUUUAAGAAGCCAUGGAUAAGAGAAAUGACACGAGACAGACAUGGAACAAAAACAAAAAACUCCUUCCAGAUAUAUGACAAAGUUAGAUUUUGACAAAUACCUUCUUCAUUUAGAAGCUAGGUAUGUUUCUGUGCUGCAAUUUUAUAAUUCGAGCAAUAUAUCUAAUCUAUGGAUAAGGUAUCCAUUUGUUUGCUUCUUUUAUCUAAUUUAAUUGAACUUUGUAAAACUAGAUUGAAUUGAAAGCAUUGGCUGAAGAAAUGCAAGCAGUGAGUAUAUAGGUCCUGAUAAACUGGAGCAAGAGCUAACUGCUUCAAAAACGUCCAUAUUAGUUUCAACCUAUCAGAGUAGCUGAAAGCCAGCUUUCCUUCUCACAGGCCAUCCUCCCUUGAGACAGGGUCUCACAUUCUGUGACUUGUGAUUGACCUCUCAGAUGGCUUUUUCAUGUUCAUACAAAGACAUAUUUGGAUUGUGCAAUCCUUAGAGAUGAAAUGGAAAUGUCGGCUGAUGUGCUUACCGCAUGUUUGCUUUUGAGGUUGCUGACCCAUAUCUUUAUCUGAUAAAAUUUCCCUUCGUCAGCUGGAUGAUCGAACCUGAUCAUGUUUCAAAUGAUUCUGUGCUGAUACACAAACCUCUUUGGGCUACAUUCAUGGAUACAGCUAUUUGUUCAAUUCUGCCCCUAGUUUUCCAUUAUUAUUUUUAUUAUUAUUAUACUUUCUAACUUUAAUAUUAUUUUCAAUCUUUUUCUUAAA